AUAGAGUGACGUAAGUGUCGCCUAACGACCUUAUCGGCCGUUGUUCUUGAGCGAUUCCAUGGGGUGGAGGCGUAUCGUGCGCACGGAAGAUGAGCAACAUGUAGUAGAACGACGACGGGAGCGACUGCGAGAAUGGGCGCGUCAGCUGUGGGAAGCCGCUAAGGCCGAUCGUGCGUCCCUCGAUGAGCCUGGCCCGUCGUGUAGGGGCGACCGACGACGACCCGCAGCAUGACCGCCAAGAACGACCAGCUUCGCUAGUCAUCCUUCUUCACAAAGUGCUGUGGUAAAGCAUCACGGCAUCGGUUUUCACUACCGCAGCCAUGCAACAGCGAGGAGCCGGUAAAAUGCUACGUGAGAAACGAAAGGUAUGCGAACGUCACUUCAAAGAAGAAUACCUCCGCACGACGAUAAAAUAUACAGAUUGUGACGGUCACACCAUCGAAGUUAAAAUCAAUAUGACGUGACUCACGCACGAUGCUCUGCCAACAAUUUUUCUGAACAGCCCUGGCUACCUCUCGGACACUCAGCAGUCGAGAGAAGAACCGGAAAUGAAGAAAAACUUAGAGAAGAUGAGCAACACUUCAGAAAGCGAUUGAGGAGUCCGUGCUGGCACACGAGAAAGAGCUACACGAAAACAAGUUGACCUGCCUUGACGACAUCGUGUCUCGCCUACACCUGCUACAAUCAAAGAAAUAUUGGUCGCCUGUGAAUUCUGACAACCACGUGAUCUUUGCUCACAUCGAGGCAGCAAUGGAAGCCCCGAAGCUUCUCUCUUCUGUGGUCAUAUCAUCAGAUAUGUCAGUGCGCGUGUUUUUGGGACGAGCGCGCCUCACUUCCGACGAACGGCUUACAUUUCCACAAGAAAUUCACGACCUCCAUGUGUUGGUGCAACUCCUGGGCAGCGUGGAAGAGUAUUGUCGUAGAAGUGAACUUGGACAGUAUGACACAGUGAAUGGAGCGCUAAAGCUUGUGGUUUCUCUCCUCAAUGGCAUUUCCAGUGGAGACCUGCUGGAUGAUGACAGAGUGGCACCAAUAAUGUUUCUCGGAGAACAGUGCCAGCUUCUGAUGAAACGGAGCAAAAGGUAUUCCGCUGAACUAUUAGUUUUGUGAAGUGUAUUUUACACUAUUUCACCCCAUGGGUAUAACUUUUUGCGAAGCAGUGGUAAUAUAGUAUUGCCUCACACUUCGACAAUCAAACGUGUAUGUGCCGCUCAUGAUGUGAAUCCUUUGAAGGAACAGGAUGAAAAAGGGUUCCUAAGGUACAUGACAAGACGGGCCAGCCUAUUGAAGCAGCAUGAAAAAAAAAUUUCACGUUAAUGCUUGAUGAAAUACACUUGAAACAAUUCUUUGACUAUAAGGCAGGCAGAUUAAGAAGAGCUUCUGUUAGCAGCACUGAACCAGCUAAAACAGCCCAUGUUUUUAUGGUUCAGAGUUUAUUGUCAUCUUUUAAAGAUGUAGCACAGAUCUUACCAGUGCCGAAAAUCACAGCGGAAGAACUACAUAAGGUCCUCAAAAAAGUAAUAAUCUGUCUUGAAGAUGCUAACCUUCAUGUCGUGGCAGUAAUAACAGAUAACAAUUCAAUUAACAGAAAGGUAACGUCACUGUUUGCAGGAGGCAACAACUUCGUAAUUUUGUAUCCUCAUCCGGCAAAUCCGCAGAAACCUUUAUUUCAUAUUGUCGACAUAGUACAUUUACUGAAAUGCAUUCGAAAUAACUGGGUUAACCAGAAAAAUUCUGACAAGUGCAUGUAUUACCCUCAUUUGGACUCUUAUGACGAGCGCAAUUCUAUUUCCUUUUUUUCUUUUUAUAUUUUUGUUGUAUUUGGUGAUCUUUACCACGGUGUUCUAUAUUGCCUUUCCCCCCCUAAUUGUGUUUGAAAUACCCUGUU